AUGGGGAACGGCCCGGCGGUUCAAAGUCUCCUCGAAAUGGGGAGAGUGGAGGACCCCGAUGUACUCUUUAUAUCGGAAACUCGGUUGACGGAAAAGGAACUGGACAAGUUUAGAUGGUCUCGAGGUCUAACUCAGAUGCUUGCAUGGGACCCGACUGGACGGAGUAGGGGGGUUGCACUGUUUUGGAGAAUCAGAAGCAGAGAGGAAAAAGGAGACUUGGAGAACAAUCAAACUGCUAGGGCAACAACAUCAGGAUGGGAGACCUUGGAUCUGCCUCGGAGACUUCAAUGA
rnacentral:rRNA from 1 species